rnacentral:tRNA from 1 species
UCCCCUGUAGCUCAAUGGUGGAGCAAGAAACUGUUAAUUUCGAGGUUGUAGGUUCGAGUCCUACCGGGGGAG